rfam:Picea glauca, whole genome shotgun sequence.
GUAACAUAUAUAUAACAAUAUUUUAAUUUUAUAGUGAAGUGGGGAAACGUUCCAUGUGAACAUCACUUGGACAUGGUCGGUUAGUCGAUCCUAAGAGAUGGAAAAUCCUUGUAUCAAGGGUGCACUCUGCAUGAACAUCGAAAGAUAAUUGGGUUAAUAUUUCUGAACCAGGACAUGGUGGUGGACGACAAUGUUAGGAAAUAUGGAGAUGUCAUCGAGGGCCUAGGAAGAGUUAUCUUUUCUUUUUAAUGACUUUCCCACCCUGAAAUCGGUUCAACCAGAGAUAGGGUCCAACAUCUGAAAGAUCACCACAAAUCUUGUGGUGUUUGGUGCUCCCUUGGUGGCCAUUGUAAAUAUGGUGAACCGAGUACCAUCCAUGCCCGAUCGUACUCAUAUCUGCCUCCUUCAAUUUUUCAAUGUCCACUAGGUUAGCAAUCUUGAUGA